rnacentral:rRNA from 1 species
AUUGAACGCUGGCGGCAUGCCUUACACAUGCAAGUCGAACGGCAGCGCGGGGCAACCUGGCGGCGAGUGGCGAACGGGUGAGUAAUAUAUCGGAACGUACCCUGGAGUGGGGGAUAACGUAGCGAAAGUUACGCUAAUACCGCAUACGAUCUAAGGAUGAAAGUGGGGGAUUCGCAAGAACCUCAUGCUCCUGGAGCGGCCGAUAUCUGAUUAGCUAGUUGGUAGGGUAAAAGCCUACCAAGGCAUCGAUCAGUAGCUGGUCUGAGAGGACGACCAGCCACACUGGAACUGAGACACGGUCCAGACUCCUACGGGAGGCAGCAGUGGGGAAUUUUGGACAAUGGGCGCAAGCCUGAUCCAGCAAUGCCGCGUGAGUGAAGAAGGCCUUCGGGUUGUAAAGCUCUUUUGUCAGGGAAGAAACGGUGUUUUCUAAUACAGAACGCUAAUGACGGUACCUGAAGAAUAAGCACCGGCUAACUACGUGCCAGCAGCCGCGGUAA